rnacentral:rRNA from 1 species
AAUUAAAGGGCCGCAGUAUUUUGACUGUGCGAAGGUAGCAUAAUCACUAGUCUUUUAAUUGGAGGCUUGUAUGAAUGGUUGAAUGAGAUAUAUACUGUCUUUUUUAAAAUUAUAUAGAAUUUUAUUUUUUAAUUAAAAAGUUAAAAUAAAAUUAAAGGACGAGAAGACCCUAUAGAUCUUUAUUUUUGUUAUUUAUAAAUUAAAAAGAAUUUUAAAAUUUAUAAUUUAAUAAAAAAUUUUAUUGGGGUGAUAUUAAAAUUUAAAAAACUUUUAAAAUUUAUUAACAUAAAUAUAUGAAUAAAUGAUCCAGUUUUAUUGAUUAAAAAUUUAAGUUACCUUAGGGAUAACAGCGUAAUUUUUUUUU